UAGGGAAUUUUGCGCAAUGGGGGAAACCCUGACGCAGCAACGCCGCGUGAGUGAGGAAGGCCUUCGGGUUGUAAAGCUCUGUUCUAAGGGAAAAAUGUCUUUAUGGCUAACAUCCAUAGAGAGUGAUGGUACCUUAGGAGAAAGCACCGGCUAACUCCGUGCCAGCAGCCGCGGUAAUACGGAGGGUGCAAGCGUUGUUCGGAAUCAUUGGGCGUAAAGCGCGCGCAGGCGGAUUGGUAAGUCAUGUGUGAAAUCUCGGGGCUCAACUCCGAAAUUGCGCCUGAAACUGCUAGUCUAGAAUGUCAUAGGGGAUAGGGGUAUUUCACGUGUAGGGGUAAAAUCCGUAGAGAUGUGAAGGAACACCGGAGGCGAAGGCGCCUAUCUGGAUGACUAUUGACGC
rnacentral:rRNA from 1 species